rnacentral:rRNA from 1 species
UGGGGAAUUUUGGACAAUGGGCGAAAGCCUGAUCCAGCAAUGCCGCGUGCAGGAUGAAGGCCCUCGGGUUGUAAACUGCUUUUGUACGGAACGAAAAGCCUGGGGCUAAUAUCCCCGGGUCAUGACGGUACCGUAAGAAUAAGCACCGGCUAACUACGUGCCAGCAGCCGCGGUAAUACGUAGGGUGCAAGCGCUAAUCGGAAUUACUGGGCGUAAAGCGUGCGCAGGCGGUUUUGUAAGACAGAGGUGAAAUCCCCGGGCUCAACCUGGGAACUGCCAUUGUGACUGCAAAGCUAGAGUGCGGCAGAGGGGGAUGGAAUUCCGCGUGUAGCAGUGAAAUGCGUAGAUAUGCGGAGGAACACCGAUGGCGAAGGCAAUCCCCUGGGCCUGUACUGACGCUCAUGCACGAAAGCGUGGGGAGCAAACA